CUUCCAAUCCUCCAGGAGCCUGGAGACUCAGGUUAAGCAGUGGGAAUUCAAUACAUCUUUAAUCUAAGUCCAUCCAAUCCUGCUCUUAACCAUUGCCUUUUGCUUCCCAGGUGGUAAACAGUGCCCAGACAAUAAAGGAAAUAACCAGAGAAAACCUGCAGGCUGUUCUGAAGAAUGCAACAGCACAAAUGAUGCUGCCUCCUGAGUGUAGUGACCUGCUAAUGGAAGAAUAUAUGGGGGACACUGAGGAUCCCCAAACCCUCCAAAUACAGUUCACAGAGAUGAUGGGAGACUUCAUGUUUGC
rnacentral:lncRNA from 1 species